AUUGAACGCUGGCGGCAUGCCUUACACAUGCAAGUCGAACGGCAGCGGACCUUCGGGUGCCGGCGAGUGGCGAACGGGUGAGUAAUAUAUCGGAACGUACCUUUCAGUGGGGGAGUAACGUAGCGAAAGUUAACGCUAAUACCGCAUAUUCUGUGAGCAGGAAAGCAGGGGAGUCGCAAGACCUUGCGCUGAUUGAGCGGCCGAUAUCAGAUUAGCUAGUUGGUGAGGUAAAGGACUCACCAAGGCGACGAUCUGUAGCGGGUCGUGAGAGGAUGAUCCGCCACACUGGAACUGAGACACGGUCCAGACUCCUACGGGAGGCAGCAGUGGGGAAGUUUUGGUAC
rnacentral:rRNA from 1 species